UACGUAGGGGGCAAGCGUUGUCCGGAAUUAUUGGGCGUAAAGCGCGCGCAGGCGGCUAUGUAAGUCUGGUGUUUAACCCCGGGGCUCAACCCCGGGUCGCACCGGAAACUGGAUAGCUUGAGUGCAGAAGAGGAAAGUGGAAUUCCACGUGUAGCGGUGAAAUGCGUAGAGAUGUGGAGGAACACCAGUGGCGAAGGCGACUUUCGGGGCUGUAACUGACGAUGAGGCGCGAAAGCGUGGGGAGCAAACAGG
rnacentral:rRNA from 1 species